rnacentral:rRNA from 1 species
GUGCCAGCAGCCGCGGUAAUACAGAGGGUGCAAACGUUGCUCGGAGUUACUGGGCGUAAAGCGCGUGUAGGCGGUGCCGCACGUCCGGUGUGAAGGCCCAGGGCUCAACCCUGGAAGUGCACUGGAUACGACGGCGCUGGAGUCCUGAAGAGGAGGGCGGAAUUCCCGGUGUAGAGGUGAAAUUCGUAGAUAUCGGGAGGAACACCAGUGGCGAAGGCGGCUCUCUGGACAGGUACUGACGCUGAGACGCGAAAGCGUGGGGAGCAAACAGGAUUAGAUACCCGAGUAGUCC